rnacentral:rRNA from 1 species
AUUGAACGCUGGCGGCAGGCCUAACACAUGCAAGUCGAACGAGUGGCGCACGGGUGCGUAAUGUCUGGGAAACUUCCCCAUUGAGGGGGGUAACUACUGGAAACGUUUGCUAAUACCGCAUACCUUCCGCUUCUCCCAGAGUUGUUUAGCUAGUAGGUGGGGUAACGGCUCACCUUGGCGACGAUCCCUAGCUGGUCCGAGAGGGUGACCGGCCACACUGUGACUGAGACACGGUCCAGACUCCUACGGUAGGCAGCAGUGGGGAAUUUUUCACAAUGGGCGCAAGCCUGAUGCAGCCAGGCCGCGUGUAGGAAGAAGGCCUUCGGGUUGUAAAGUACUUUCAGCGAGGAGGCGUUACUCGCAGAAGAAGCAUCGGCUAACUCCGUGCCAGCAGCCGCGGUAAUUC